CACCGGCGAACCAAAAGUUUCACCGGCUCUUCCUGUAAAAAUCCGAAACACAGCGAAAGAUCGAAAAAAAACGAAACGAUUCAAAAGUUACAACUUGUGGGAUGUGAAGAAUAUACAGUGACCGAUGGGAUACGGUUUUGAAAACUCCUGUUCAGUACAUCGCCGCAUACAUAGGAUUGGGUGACAACAAAUAAAAUUAACGAAUUACCACGCGCAUUACAUAUUCAGCAGACAUCGCUAUAAGGUCAAGACAGUGAGACCUACGAACCUUGACUUCCGCUUUUCAUUGUAACGUCCAAUUACUGUGUUACAUGCGUAAAUCGCCGGUUCACGUUUUGACCAUAGGCGAUCUACAAAUUUGAAAACCAAUCGUGACGGGAGUUCCGAGAGGAUAAAGAAUUUUCUUGCGCCUGUUGGGAAAAUCGAUGCUCGCGUCCUUAGUUUGUCUCUCUACUCGAUAUUACUUUUUGUUUUUUCUUCGUUUUUUAUUAGUAAACAUUCUUAGAGUAAUGUAUAUAAUGUAAUUACAGAAAUGUAGAUAAUAUACUUAUACGUAUGCAAGAAUUCUGUACAAAAAUUUAUGUAUAAUUUGUUUUAUUGCAACAUCAUUUUUGAAUUCGACGAGUAUACGUUGUUUGCUCGUCUUUCAAAGUCAUCGCGUACGAACUAUCAAUGAAAAUCAUGCAUCGUAAGUUUUUCA